ensembl:processed_transcript A230004M16Rik uncharacterized LOC110304378
GAGAUUUCAGAGGCAUAAGUGCCUUCAUGAAUCAUUAAGUGUGGGAGGCAGAGACAUGACUCUGAGUGUUCAUGCCUGCCUCACGGGGGCCACGGUGGUGCUGCCACCAGAUAAUGAACCAUCAAGAAGAGAUGAAGUUUGGGAAGAGGAUUCUUAGAUCAGGAUUCAUGAUAGUGUCGUAACUGAAUUGAAGGUACUCACUAAAGGCUACACUAAUCUACCACCCGGAAAAUAUUUUUCUCCAGGGAUCCCACAGAGAUACUGAGAGUAAAUAAGAUGAUUUAAGAACUAUGAAGAAACAAGCAAUGACCUAACUGAAAGACCAUAAUCUCAAUACUAGUUGGGUCACAGGAACUGAGUGGAAAGUGGAGAAAAGAAAAGGAAACUCAAAGUUCGUGGAAAGAAGUGAAAGAAUGAUAAGGGUUGGGGGUGGAGAUGGGGCAAUAUGUUAAAAAUACAUUGCAUGAAGUUCUGGAAGACUCAACAAACAUAUUUUGAAUAUGUUGAAUUACUCAGCGGUCAACGAGUCCUCACCUAUUUCAGCUACUUGUAUGAUUAUUAGAAAUGUUGCAGUUUCAAUAUAUUAUCAAACAUGCUCCCGAACAGGAAUGAAUUAAUUUAUGCCUAAUAAACACACUAUUUUCACAAAGAAUUGCAAUUCACUUUGAGAAAUUAGUACAAAACUUACCAAACCAUUUUAAAUCCAAUUUGUCUUACAUUGAUAGAGUACACUUGAAUUUAUCUAUGCAACUAGAAUACUAGCUAUCAUUUUGUCUAAAAAAAAUGAACAUACUUCAUUAUCUUUUUGAAUGCCAUUUGUAAGUUGCGCAUCUAAAAGCUUUGCAGACUGUGUGUGUGAGUUAAAAUCAUUUUCAAGAAUGCCUUACCAGAAGUUGUCUUCACUACUUCAGUUGUAUUCCUCAAUCCAACAAAGGAAAAUUGAUACAGCCUCCAUGAUCUUGUGUCACCCACUUCAACAGAACUGCGCUUCCAUUGAUAAACAAUUUCUUCACGAGGAUAUCCAUCUACCAUGAGAUGGGAAAGCUCACAUUAAAUAUGACAGUGAAUGACCAGCCAGAGGUAGCAACCACCUUCUUUGAAUAACUUGUAAAUACCAAGGGAGAACAAAACUGAAAGUCAUAUGAGCACACUGGACUGGCCUUGUGGAAUUUGUCUCCCAGAAAAUUAACAAAAUGUAUAUCAAAUCCUUCUGGAAAAGACUGAAAGUAACAAAGUCAAAACUGCCUUUAAAAAAUCUCACUUUUAGUUGCAUGUAAUGUAAACAAUGAAGGAUAUUCUAAAUGUUGUAUUUGUACUUUAUAUCACUUUUGUAAGAUACAAACGUAUCCAGUACAAAGUGAAAAUUAGAUAUGUAAAAGAGUAUUUUAUAAUGAAGUAAAUUACAUAUGAUCAAUUCUCUUAUCACUGUCUUUUAAAAUUAACUACUGUCAUGACUUUCUUGAUUUUAGGAGUCUCUCUGACUCUAUUGAAGAAAAAUUAUGUUGAUGAAAAUGCAUGUUUAAAAUCCAUAGUUAACAUUUCAUUCAUACAAAAACGUCUAACUGUUAAACCAGAAAUAAGGCAGAGAUGAAUAAUCUAAUAUAGAUAUUGAACAAAUAGGAAUUCAUGUAGAAAACUGAGGCCUGUUUGCUUUAGAAUAUCUGUGGAAGUUUUAAUAUUUAAUUGGUGAUAGAGUUGUCAAAAUCCCCUUGAUAUGUUGAAAAUAUCUUCUCUGAUGAAAAUAAUAAGUCAGGCUUUUACAGUGUUGACAUAUCAUACAUUUUUACAAAUAUUAUACCAACAAAACAGUGUUAAUGUGAAGUAUACUUUGCUUAAGAAUGUGCUAUAACAUUCUUCUGAGUCCCAUGAUAAAGGAUAUUGGAGGUAUAGUAUCAACCAUUUAUACUUUCUAUUGAGUCCUGGCCUGGCCUUACAAUCCACCUCAACAGUCAGUUUGGGCACCCAUUGUCUAUUUUUCUAUGAGUUGCCCAUUCCAUCAAUUCUUUUUGUAAAGAUUGUUUUAAUUGGGACAGUUUGAAUUACAAUAAAAAAGAUGUCAAAAUCAAUAGCAAAGCUCAGUGCCACUAUGUAAUUUCUCAGAUUCACUGCAUUAAUUGACAAGGCAAUUAGAGUGACUACAGGUGGCAGGGCACAAUCUGGAGAGAAUAUUACUUACAACUGGAGAACUCCAGGGGGCAGGAGUGUUCAUCCAUUGGGAAGUUGUGUAAUUGCAACUGGCACUCAGCAUCAAUUGUUAGCCUAAUUAGAACAACAAUAAAUAUACAGAGAAAAAAAUUGCUAACAUCAUUUUACAGUGCACACUGACAUCCUUUCUAGAACAAUCUUACACUAUGAUUGAUAAAACAAAGUGAUCCUCUAUGAAAAAAAUUCAAGUUCUAGGUAAAAAUUAUUUCUGAGCAUAUUUUAUUUACAUAGCAGACAGAACCACCUAAUUCACCUCAACUCCAUUAAUUCAAAAUAUGUGGAUACUUGUUUUGUAUUUUAUCUUAUUUAUUUUUGCAAAUUAACUGCACACAGGAGAUUUCUCAGUGAAUAUUUUUAACUUAUUUAAGAGAACAAACUGUUUUAGGAACUUAGGCUCGUUUAAUGUUUGCAUCAAAUGAAUGCUGACAGUUCUCUGAUCUUAUCAGCUAAUUAACAUGAAGCCUUCUGUUGGCAAGAACUUGCUGUUUUUAAAUUGCCAUAGGUGGGUUUUAAAAUACCACUGCUGCACAAGGGACUGGUAUGCACUUUUACAACAAAGAUAGAUAGAUAGAUAGAUAGAUAGAUAGAUAGAUAGAUAGAUAGAUAGAUAGAUAGAUAGAAUUAUUUUCCUAUAUAAGAUGUUUUAUAUAGGAGAGGAUAUCUAAAAGCAAACAAGAGAUGCUAAAUGCACAUACAAUGAGACAAUGAGAAUGACUUCACCAUUGAGUCUCAGUUUAAACAAAGUUUAAAACCUCAAGAUGUGCAGUUUUAAGCCCUGGACUGUGACUCAAGAAGGGAGUUUAAAUCUGAAGGAGUAUAGAUGUUCUGGCCACCUUUGGAAAGGCAUAAAAAAAUAGAAUCAAACUGUAAUGGUGAUGAUUAGUGGCUUUCAAAAUGUUCAUGUUCAUCAGCUACAUUUCUUACAAGCUACAAUACCACUGCUUAAGUGAUAGAAAUGUUAUUUUACAAAAAUUAAAUUUAAAGGAUUCUCUAAUUAGCAUGACUUUUCAUUGAGAACAUAUUAGAUGUUUUGUGGUACAAGAGAGCAAUAAAUAAUCUUUCUGUGUAUCUUCAAUGGCCUAUGAAGCCUUGAUGAUCUGAACUACUUCUGUACUAAAUGCUGUGAUGGCUCCAUUGCACUGAAAGGUAUUCAAGGUCACAGGGACCAGGAACUCGGUUAUGAUCUGUACUUAGGCUCUUCACUCUUCGUCACAGCAGGAGACUUUAAUCACUGUCUCUAUAAUCAUUCUUCAAAGAAUAGUUUGGCUUUAUUCCCAAAUGAGAUUUUAAUUAAAUCUGGUUUUUAUUAGAAUUAUCUCUCAAAAUAAAUUGAUAUUCUUAUUAUUAAAAUAAUACAGAUAGAUUGCAGAUAUAAGUAUAGAUUCAGAAGUAUAAAUAGCUCUACAAAUACAUGCACACAUGUAUUCAGACAUUUAUAGUUUAGAUAAGCAACUAAAUUAAAAAUCAUCUUUCUUUAUAAAUACAUACAUUGUUUCAAGUCUUAAGCAGAUCAUAACUGACACUUAAAGGAGGGUUCUAUAAUUAAACACUGUUCCCCAAAUUAAUAAGAACUCAAAAUUGACGAAAACAUUAUAAUAUGAUAACAAGACUUGAGGUAGAGUGAAUGAUUGCAGAUUUCCCAAGCCAAAUGAACUCUGAUUUAUCAUUCAGACUUUGAUUUUCACAUUUCUAAUUCUAGUCAUUACCUUAUCAGGAACUUAAUAAAUUCCCACUGAAUCUAAAAUAGACACAAUGACUUUCUUUUGCAAUUAUGGUAGAGAUUUCAAAUCAUUUGAAAGUAUUAUGCUUUAUAUGUUUAGUAUUAAGCAUUACAAGAAAUAAAUAUAUUUUACUGGUACCUAUGACAUGUUAACUUCGAUGUAUAUUUUUUAGAUAUUGCUAAUAUAUAAAUAAAUCUUACAAUAUACCAUGACCC